rnacentral:rRNA from 1 species
UACGUAGGGCGCAAGCGUUGUCCGGAAUUAUUGGGCGUAAAGAGCUCGUAGGCGGUCUGUCGCGUCUGUUGUGAAAACUCGAGGCUCAACCUCGGGCUUGCAGUGGAUACGGGCAGACUAGAGUGCGGUAGGGGAGACUGGAAUUCCUGGUGUAGCGGUGGAAUGCGCAGAUAUCAGGAGGAACACCGGCGGCGAAGGCGGCACUCUGGGCCGGUACUGACGCUGAGGAGCGAAAGCGUGGGUAGCAAACAGG